rnacentral:miRNA from 1 species
AUGCGAUUUUACCAAAAUGCAA